rnacentral:rRNA from 1 species
UAAUUGGGCGUUAAGUUGCAGGGUAUAGACCCGAAACCCGGUGAUCUAGCCAUGGGCAGGUUGAAGGUUGGGUAACACUAACUGGAGGACCGAACCGACUAAUGUUGAAAAAUUAGCGGAUGACCUGUGGCUGGGGGUGAAAGGCCAAUCAAACCGGGAGAUAGCUGGUUCUCCCCGAAAGCUAUUUAGGUAGCGCCUCGUGAAUUCAUCUCCGGGGGUAGAGCACUGUUUCGGCUAGGGGGCCAUCCCGGCUUACCAACCCGAUGCAAACUGCGAAUACCGGAGAAUGUUAUCACGGGAGACACACGGCGGGUGCUAACGUCCGUCGUGAAGAGGGAAACAACCCAGACCGCCAGCUAAGGUCCCAAAGUCAUGGUUAAGUGGGAAACGAUGUGGGAAGGCCCAGACAGCCAGGAUGUUGGCUUAGAAGCAGCCAUCAUUUAAAGAAAGCGUAAUAGCUCACUGGUCGAGUCGGCCUGCGCGGAAGAUGUAACGGGGCUAAACCAUGCACCGAAGCUGCGGCAGCGACGCUUAUGCGUUGUUGGGUAGGGGAGCGUUCUGUAAGCCUGCGAAGGUGGCCUGUGAGGGUUGCUGGAGGUAUCAGAAGUGCGAAUGCUGACAUAAGUAACGAUAAAGCGGGUGAAAAGCCCGCUCGCCGGAAGACCAAGGGUUCCUGUCCAACGUUAAUCGGGGCAGGGUGAGUCGACCCCUAAGGCGAGGCCGAAAGGCGUAGUCGAUGGGAAACGGGUUAAUAUUCCCGUACUUGGUGUUACUGCGAAGGGGGGACGGAGAAGGCUAUGUUGGCCGGGCGACGGUUGUCCCGGUUUAAGCGUGUAGGUGUGUGUUCCAGGUAAAUCCGGUUCACUUUAACACUGAGGCGUGACGACGAGGCACUACGGUGCUGAAGCAACAAAUGCCCUGCUUCCAGGAAAAGCCUCUAAGCAUCAGGUAACAUCAAAUCGUACCCCAAACCGACACAGGUGGUCAGGUAGAGAAUACCAAGGCGCUUGAGAGAACUCGGGUGAAGGAACUAGGCAAAAUGGUGCCGUAACUUCGGGAGAAGGCACGCUGACACGUAGGUGAAGUGAUUUACUCAUGGAGCUGAAGUCAGUCGAAGAUACCAGCUGGCUGCAACUGUUUAUUAAAAACACAGCACUGUGCAAACACGAAAGUGGACGUAUACGGUGUGACGCCUGCCCGGUGCCGGAAGGUUAAUUGAUGGGGUCAGCGCAAGCGAAGCUCCUGAUCGAAGCCCCGGUAAACGGCGGCCGUAACUAUAACGGUCCUAAGGUAGCGAAAUUCCUUGUCGGGUAAGUUCCGACCUGCACGAAUGGCGUAAUGAUGGCCAGGCUGUCUCCACCCGAGACUCAGUGAAAUUGAACUCGCUGUGAAGAUGCAGUGUACCCGCGGCAAGACGGAAAGACCCCGUGAACCUUUACUAUAGCUUGACACUGAACAUUGAGCCUUGAUGUGUAGGAUAGGUGGGAGGCUUUGAAGUGUGGACGCCAGUCUGCAUGGAGCCGACCUUGAAAUACCACCCUUUAAUGUUUGAUGUUCUAACGUGGACCCGUUACCCGGGUUGCGGACAGUGUCUGGUGGGUAGUUUGACUGGGGCGGUCUCCUCCUAAAGAGUAACGGAGGAGCACGAAGGUUGGCUAAUCCUGGUCGGACAUCAGGAGGUUAGUGCAAUGGCAUAAGCCAGCUUGACUGCGAGCGUGACGGCGCGAGCAGGUGCGAAAGCAGGUCAUAGUGAUCCGGUGGUUCUGAAUGGAAGGGCCAUCGCUCAACGGAUAAAAGGUACUCCGGGGAUAACAGGCUGAUACCGCCCAAGAGUUCAUAUCGACGGCGGUGUUUGGCACCUCGAUGUCGGCUCAUCACAUCCUGGGGCUGAAGUAGGUCCCAAGGGUAUGGCUGUUCGCCAUUUAAAGUGGUACGCGAGCUGGGUUUAGAACGUCGUGAGACAGUUCGGUCCCUAUCUGCCGUGGGCGCUGGAGAACUGAGGGGGGCUGCUCCUAGUACGAGAGGACCGGAGUGGACGCAUCACUGGUGUUCGGGUUGUCAUGCCAAUGGCACUGCCCGGUAGCUAAAUGCGGAAGAGAUAAGUGCUGAAAGCAUCUAAGCACGAAACUUGCCCCGAG